rnacentral:rRNA from 1 species
AUACGUAGGAUGCGAGCGUUGUCCGGAAUUACUGGGCGUAAAGAGCUCGUAGGUGGUUUGUCGCGUCGUCUGUGAAAUUCCGGGGCUUAACUCCGGGCGUGCAGGCGAUACGGGCAUAACUUGAGUACUGUAGGGGAGACUGGAAUUCCUGGUGUAGCGGUGAAAUGCGCAGAUAUCAGGAGGAACACCGGUGGCGAAGGCGGGUCUCUGGGCAGUAACUGACGCUGAGGAGCGAAAGCAUGGGUAGCGAACAGGAUUAGAUACCCUGGUAGUCCAUGCCGUAAACGGUGGGCGCUAGGUGUAGGGGUCUUCCACGACUUCUGUGCCGUAGCUAACGCAUUAAGCGCCCCGCCUGGGGAGUACGGCCGCAAGGCUAAAACUCAAAGGAAUUGACGGGG